rnacentral:rRNA from 1 species
UACGUAGGUGGCAAGCGUUGUCCGGAAUUAUUGGGCGUAAAGCGCGCGCAGGUGGUUUCUUAAGUCUGAUGUGAAAGCCCACGGCUCAACCGUGGAGGGUCAUUGGAAACUGGGGAACUUGAGUGCAGGAGAGAAGAGUGGAAUUCCACGUGUAGCGGUGAAAUGCGUAGAGAUGUGGAGGAACACCAGUGGCGAAGGCGACUCUUUGGCCUGUAACUGACACUGAGGCGCGAAAGCGUGGGGAGCAAACGG